CUGUACUCGUGCUGCUUCCCGUUGCUUGCGUAACGGCCGUUCGCUACGACCAGCGAGAAGCUCUUCUUGGUUGUUCACUCGCUAUAUGAUUUGACUGCUGCCAUUUGUUUUGCCUUCUCUGCUUCUCUGCUCUUUCCUCGCAGUUGUGUGCGCGUGCGCCAGCAUCCUGGACGUCCGCUGUCUGUGAGCGGUUUUGUUCCGUUGCUGUAUGCGUGCUUGCUGGUGGGCUCUCUUGGCGAGUGCGUGACAUGUGAUGCGCGUGCAAGAGCCUCUCCUCGCCGUCGUCUCACCCUCAUCAGUGCGCUUCUUCACCCACGUGGGUCCAUACGUCCAUUCCCUUCUCGCCUAAAGGCUCUUUCUCUUGUCUGACCAUUAUGGCAUGGCAGCUGCGGGCCUCGGUGCUGCGCGUCCCGCGCUUCACCCUUCGCUUUCCCGGGAGCGGCAGGAUAGAAGACAUGCGCCUCUUUACACAGACGCUCUACAGGUACUGGUACCACAAGGGCUUUUGGGGCGCCACCGUUGCCUCUGCGGUUGAUUUUCUCAAUACCUUUGUUCUCUUUAUUGUGGCGGUCAUCUUCACGAUGCGGUUCGACUGGGCGGUAGCUCUCAGCUGCGUGGAAUCGGAGUGUGCUGCGCACCCACUGGUGAGAGGGCUGCACGCCCCGUACAUCUUCCGUAGCACGUUCUGGGGCCACCUAUGGGGAUUCAUUUUUCUCAGCUCCACUGUCGGCUCCUGCGCGUACGAGCUGGCGCGCUUCGUGGAGACGUACUACCUGCAGUACGAGGUCGAGGAGGUUGCUCGCGAGGCUGGCGUCGACACCGGCUUCCUUACUCCGCUGCACCGCUGGCGCUAUCACCUGCAGCGUGGCCUGGAUGGGCGAGCCGGGCACGAGUUCAUCGGCUUGUGCGGCGGCGACGCAAUCGCGCUCAGCACCGCAGGAUGGGGCGAGUUUCUAGAGACCAUUUGUGCGGCGGUUGGCCGCAGCGGCAGCGUCAAAUUUGGCGCUCCUGGCGAACCGCUGGAUCCCCUACGUGCUGUCCAGGGCCUUAUGCAGUUGGAGAACUACCUGAUUGCGCUGCAUGAGGCUGAUGCGUUGCGGGGUACCGCACUCCAGUACGUCAGCCCAAGCGUGAUCAGGACCCUGAUCGACUCCAUGUUUGAUGCCUUCCGUACAGUCGAAUCCCGGCAUAAGUGCGUAUGGGCCGUCCGCUCCACCAUGGUCACCUACGCCGUGCUGUACGGGGCGGGGUUUCUCUUCUUUUGCGUGUACGUGACGCUCAAGGUGCUCGUGAAGAACGCGGCCCAGGUCAAGGUCAACUACUGGGCCCUCUCCCAGCGCAUGUGGACAACGGAGGCGCAAUGGCGCUUUCGGCUCUACAACGAGGUGGAGCACCUGCACGCGUGUCGCCUGCGUGCCGGGUCGGAGGUGGCCGAGCGCAUGGUGGAUCGGCUGCGGGUGUCGAACAGCGUUUCUAGAUUUGUGCGGCGGGUCUGCAGCACGUGCGUGCUUGUGACUGCCAUCCUAUCCUUUCUGAAUCCGGCUCUUCUCAUCGGCUCCUCCAUUGGCGGGCUCACUCUCGUUUGGUGGCUCACGCUCGCUUUGAUGCUGUAUGCGUGUGCGCCAGAGGUGGACCCUCGGGAGCGCGAGUACGCGUACAUCACCGACCUGGAGCGGCUCGUUGACAGCAUCCACUACGACGCGGCGGAGUGGUUCCAUUCGGCGGACGCUUUCUACGAGCACAUCACGACGACCUUUUUCAAGAAUCGGCUUCUAGUGGUGGUGACCGGCCUCCUCGAAAGUCUCGCGCUGCCUGUCUUGCUCGUGUAUGCCCUGGGGGACGGCAGCGUAGAGGCGUUGGUCGAGUUUGUGUUACAGCACUCGACGACGGUGGACGGUGUCGGCUCGAUCGCCGCCGGCUCCGACUGGAGCUCCUCUUCUCUCUCCAGGACGCCGCCGGGGGAGCACGACUCAGGCGGGGUCAAUCACGCGUCAGCGUCGACGCACAGCAAAGACGCUGACACAAGCGCCACAUUGCUCGGCAAGCCCGCAGCUGCCACUGGCUCUGCACACAAGCGGGCAGAGAAGGUGCAGCUGUCGGUCGCCAGUUUUGCUGCGGUGUACUCACAAUGGACGCUGCGGCACAUCGACGGCCCGACAGGCAGGGAGUCUCCGGCAAGCUGCCAGGACGCUGCCCUCAACAACUUCCUGCGGCAGCUUAGUCUCCGCGUGCGGGAGGCAGCCAUCACGCACGCAGCCAGCGUCGCCUCCGCGGAUGAGCUGAUGAUAUCCAGAGACUCAUUGGCGCUGUCGAAGUCGGUACGCUCGGAGCGCCGCUUUAGGGUACCCCGAGAAGACGCCGAGCAACGGAUCGACGGGGCCGACGGCGAAACCAGCGGGCUGCCGGCGUUUGCGGCGGGUAGCACAACCGCACACGAGCGUGAGCAGCUGUUCGUGUCGCAGGUGUCCUCGUCGCGCCACGCCUUUCACUUCUCUCGGACAACUCAGCUACCGCUGAACCGUCGAGAAGCGGCAGACUACGGAACUGAAAAGGGAGGCGCCCUGUGAGGAAGAAUCCAGCGAGUGUUUGGCUCCGCAUGCGAACAGCGUGCGGCUCGUCAAAGAGGCGCCGGGCCGUUUCGAUAGCACACAUGCUAUGUGGCGCUGUUCAUAAUGGCGGGACACGCUUUCGUCUCCGGGAUCGGAUCCUUCGGGAUCGAUGCUGCGGCUUUGUCUGAUCCGUCUCUGCUGCUGCCCCCCCCCCCCCGAUUCUCCCUCCACUUGCUGUUUGCCGAUGCUGCAUGCAUGCAUCGACGUGCUUUUUCCUUCAAACAAGAAACUAUGCUCGCCUACCUCUGCUCUGUGUGUGUCUCUUGCUUUUUCUAUGCCUUUGUUGCUCGGUGCAGUGCCACCACCCUGCGAUAGCGCCGUCGCGCGCGUCACGAGAAAAACGCACACGCAGAGAGCAAGCAAACUUUCUAGCGCUGCGGCCGCCACUCCUUGG
rnacentral:misc_RNA from 1 species